ensembl:ncRNA C25A11.9 ncRNA
CUUCACAUUCCCAUUCAUCUUGCUUCCUUUUUCCACACUGCCUCCCGUCCCAAGUCGGAAGGCGUUUUCCGGUGUGCACAUUGUGUUUCGCGACUGUGUGUCAAACGCGAGGGCACAGUGUCAUGCGAUAAAUGUUCCUAGUUAGAGUGC